rnacentral:sRNA from 1 species
AGUUUUUUACGAUUUUUGUUCCCUGGCAAGUCUCCCCGUCGGAAGAGCGGCUCGUGGUGGUCACGUCCCAGAAUCAGACCUAUGUCUACGUCACGUUCGCAGAGGCGUCACGUCAAAGAUAUCAGCUGACACAGGCUCACCAAAUUCACUAUAUAGAUGUGCACAUGAAUAACUCGAUACGUAACGGGUUGAUCCUCAGUGACAAGCCGAUAAAUGUCAUGUAUUUUACAUCUCGGUGUAAAGAAGGGCCGCAUUUAAGCUCCGGUCAAUCAAUGGGUAUGCUGCUGCCCGUUCACCUGUUUUACAACAUGUACACCUUAUCAUUCAACUGGGACACUGGCAUAUAUCACUUUGUCGUCAUCGUCAUGUUACAAGAGAAAGAUUUUUACAAUCUGACUUGGUACGCCAUGCCCGGCCAACUGAAGAUCUUAGGUACAAGUAAAGUGAUUGGAAGAAAAGAGGCGGGCACCUUCU